GGAUUAGAUACCCUAUUAUUUUUUUAUUUAAAUUUAUUUGCUAGGGUAGUAUUAGAUUGGUCUUGAAACUUAUAGAAUUUGGCGGUAUUUUAAUUCUUUUUAGAGGAAUCUGUUUCGUAAUCGAUAGUCCACGUUGAACCUUACUUGUUUUAUGUAGUUUGUAUAUCGCCGUUAUUGAUUAUUUUUUUAGAAUUAAUAAAUUUUCUUGAUUUUUUAUUGGAGUAUAUUUCAGGUCAAGGUGCAGCUUAUAGAUUGAGUGAAAAUGGAUUACAAUUUUAUUUUAAUAUAUGAAUAAUAUUAGUAUAUGUUUUUUGAAGGUGGAUUUAAUAGUAAUUUUAUGUAGAUUAUUAAUAUGAAAAAAGUUCUGAAAUAUGUACAUAUCGCCCGUCGCUCUCGUUAAUAGUUAAGAUGAGAUAAGUC
rnacentral:rRNA from 1 species